rnacentral:rRNA from 1 species
AGAGUUUGAUCAUGGCUCAGAACGUACGCUGGCGGCACGCCUUAUACAUGCAAGUCGAACGAAGUAGCAAUACUUAGUGGCAGACGGGUGAGUAACAUGUAGGUAUCUUCCCUUUGGUGAGGAAUAACACGAGGAAACUUGUGCUAAUACCUCAUAAGUCUUUACGGAGAAAGCUUUAUGCGCCGAAGGAUGAGCCUGCACUUGAUUAGUUUGUUGGUGGGGUAAUGGCCUACCAAGACUUUGAUCUAUAGCUGAUCUGAGAGGAUGAUCAGCCACAUUGGGACUGAGACACGGCCCAAACUCCUACGGGAGGCAGCAGUAGGGAAUAUUGCACAAUGGAGGAAACUCUGAUGCAGCGAUGCCGCGUGAGUGAAGAAGGCCUUUGGGUUGUAAAGCUCUUUCGUCGGGGAAGAAAAUGACUGUACCCGAAUAAGAAGGUCCGGCUAACUUCGUGCCAGCAGCCGCGGUAAUACGAAGGGACCUAGCGUAGUUCGGAAUUACUGGGCUUAAAGAGUUCGUAGGUGGUUAAAAAAGUUGGUGGUGAAAUCCCAGAGCUUAACUCUGGAACUGCCAUCAAAACUUUUUAGCUAGAGUAUGAUAGAGGAAAGCAGAAUUUCUAGUGUAGAGGUGAAAUUCGUAGAUAUUAGAAAGAAUACCAAUUGCGAAGGCAGCUUUCUGGAUCAUUACUGACGCUGAGGAACGAAAGCAUGGGUAGCGAAGAGGAUUAGAUACCCUCGUAGUCCAUGCCGUAAACGAUGUGUGUUAGACGUUGGAAAUUUUAUUUUCAGUGUCGCAGCGAAAGCAUUAAACACACCGCCUGGGGAGUACGACCGCAAGGUUAAAACUCAAAUGAAUUGACGGGGACCCGCACAAGUAGUGGAGCAUGUGGUUUAAUUCGAAGAUACGCGCAGAACCUUA